rnacentral:rRNA from 1 species
AGAGUUUGAUCCUGGCUCAGGAUGAACGCUAGCGACAGGCUUAACACAUGCAAGUCGAGGGGCAGCGGGGGAGCGGCAACGCUCCCGCCGGCGACCGGCGCACGGGUGAGUAACACGUAUGCAACCUGCCCCGCGGAGGGGGACAAGCGGGGGAAACCCCGUCUAAUACCGCAUAUACCGGGUCCCCGGCAUCGGGGGCCCGGGAAAGGAGCGAUCCGCCGCGGGAUGGGCAUGCGGCGCAUUAGCUAGUCGGCGGGGUGACGGCCCACCGAGGCGACGAUGCGUAGGGGUUCUGAGAGGAAGGCCCCCCACACUGGUACUGAGACACGGACCAGACUCCUACGGGAGGCAGCAGUGAGGAAUAUUGGUCAAUGGGCGGUAGCCUGAACCAGCCAAGUCGCGUGCGGGAGGAAGGCCCUACGGGUCGUAAACCGCUAUCGCCGGGGAGCAAGGGGCGCCAUGCGUGGCGCGGCGAGAGUACCCGGAGAAGAAGCAUCGGCUAACUCCGUGCCAGCAGCCGCGGUAAUACGGAGGAUGCGAGCGUUAUCCGGAUUCAUUGGGUUUAAAGGGUGCGCAGGCGGAGCGCCAAGUCGGCGGUAAAAUCGCGGGGCUCAACCCCGCCCGGCCGUCGAAACUGGCGCCCUUGAGUUGUCGAGAGGUAGGCGGAAUGCGCGGUGUAGCGGUGAAAUGCAUAGAUAUCGCGCAGAACCCCGAUUGCGAAAGCAGCCUACCGGCGGCAAACUGACGCUCAGGCACGAAAGCGCGGGUAUCGAACAGGAUUAGAUACCCUGGUAGUCCGCGCAGUAAACGAUGAGCGCUAGGUAUCCGGGGCGAACGGGCCCUGGGUGCCACAGCGAAAGCGUUAAGCGCUCCACCUGGGGAGUACGCCGGCAACGGUGAAACUCAAAGGAAUUGACGGGGGCCCGCACAAGCGGAGGAACAUGUGGUUUAAUUCGAUGAUACGCGAGGAACCUUACCCGGGCUCAAACGCCAUAAGACAGGCCGUGAAAGCGGCUCUCCCUCCGGGGCUUAUGGCGAGGUGCUGCAUGGUUGUCGUCAGCUCGUGCCGUGAGGUGUCGGCUUAAGUGCCAUAACGAGCGCAACCCCCACCGCCAGUUGCCAGCAGGUCAAGCUGGGGACUCUGGCGGGACUGCCGGCGCAAGCCGCGAGGAAGGCGGGGAUGACGUCAAAUCAGCACGGCCCUUACGUCCGGGGCCACACACGUGUUACAAUGGCCGGUACAGCGGGGCGCCACCUGGCGACAGGGAGCCGAACCCGAAAGCCGGUCCCAGUUCGGAUCGGAGUCUGCAACCCGACUCCGUGAAGCUGGAUUCGCUAGUAAUCGCGCAUCAGCCACGGCGCGGUGAAUACGUUCCCGGGCCUUGUACACACCGCCCGUCAAGCCAUGGGAGCCGGGGGUGCCUGAAGGCCGUGACCGCCACAGGAGCGGCCUAGGGUAAAACCGGUGACUGGGGCUAAGUCGUAACAAGGUAACC